GUGGGGAAUCUUGCGCAAUGGGCGAAAGCCUGACGCAGCCAUGCCGCGUGGAUGAUGAAGGUCUUAGGAUUGUAAAAUCCUUUCACCGGUGAAGAUAAUGACUGUAGCCGGAGAAGAAGCCCCGGCUAACUUCGUGCCAGCAGCCGCGGUAAUACGAAGGGGGCUAGCGUUGCUCGGAUUUACUGGGCGUAAAGGGCGCGUAGGCGGACAUUUAAGUCAGGGGUGAAAUCCCGGGGCUCAACCUUGGAAUUGCCUUUGAUACUGGCUGUCUUGAGUUUGGGAGAGGUGAGUGGAACUCCGAGUGUAGAGGUGAAAUUCGUAGAUAUUCGGAAGAACACCAGUGGCGAAGGCGACUCACUGGCCCAAUACUGACGCUGAGGCGCGAAAGCGUGGGGAGCAAACAGGAUUAGAAACCCGGGUAGUCC
rnacentral:rRNA from 1 species